UCCGCCGGUGCAGAGGAGGCGGCGGUGAGUAGCGGAGCCCGACCUGGGCAGCGGCGACCGGCACCACCUCGCGCAGCGGCGGCAGGCUCCGGGGCGGGGGCUCCAGCGGCGAAGCCCCCUCCCCGGGGAGGUGGGGCCGGGCCAGCUCCCGGGACCAUGCAUCAAAAGCUGCUGAAGAGCGCCCACUACAUCGAGCUGGGCAGCUACCAGUACUGGCCUGUGCUGGUGCCCCGCGGCAUCCGGCUCUACACCUACGAGCAGAUCCCGGUGUCCCUCAAAGACAACCCAUACAUCACCGACGGCUACCGUGCCUACCUGCCCUCCAGGCUGUGUAUUAAGAGUUUGUUUAUUUUAUCAAAUGAGACUGUAAACAUCUGGAGUCAUUUGCUGGGUUUCUUUCUCUUCUUCACCCUGGGAAUAUAUGACAUGACAUCUGUGCUACCUUCUGCAAGUGCAUCCAGAGAAGAUUUUGUCAUUUGUUCUAUUUGUCUUUUCUGCUUCCAGAUCUGUAUGCUUUGCUCAGUGGGCUAUCACCUUUUUUCCUGUCAUCGUUCAGAAAAGACCUGUCGAAGAUGGAUGGCAUUGGAUUAUGCAGGAAUUUCUAUUGGAAUACUGGGCUGCUAUGUUUCAGGAGUAUUUUAUGCGUUUUAUUGUAACAAUUACUGGCGCCAAGUAUACUUGAUCACUGUGCUUGCCAUGAUCCUGGCAGUGUUCUUUGCACAGAUUCAUCCCAAUUACCUCACACAGCAAUGGCAGAGGCUCCGCCCUAUCAUCUUCUGUUCUGUUUCUGGAUAUGGAGUGAUCCCUACUCUUCACUGGGUUUGGCUCAAUGGAGGAAUCAGUGCUCCUAUUGUACAGGACUUUGCACCCCGAGUAAUUGUGAUGUACGUGAUUGCUCUUCUUGCUUUCCUGUUCUACAUUUCCAAAGUUCCAGAACGGUACUUCCCAGGACAACUAAACUACCUCGGAUCAAGUCACCAGAUAUGGCAUAUCCUUGCAGUAGUGAUGUUAUAUUGGUGGCAUCAGUCAACAGUGUAUGUCAUGCAGUACAGACAUAGCAAGCCUUGUCCUGACUAUGUUUCACACCUGUGAAUUCAGGAGAGAAAUAACAGUAGGGCUCUCUUGAGGAGACUGAACUUCUGUACCCUUACACAGCUUAUGUGAACAGCCACCAAGGACCUCGUCCUGCUCUACAGAUGUGGCAUCAGACUACUGCCCAGCAUGCAGUGCUUAUGUGAAGUACCAAAACCUAAGAUAAACCCAGCAAGUGGCUGAGCCUUCAGACCAGUCUGCUUGGUGAAUGCCAGCACAGAAGAGCGGACUCCACCUCUGUAUUCCACCAGCAAGAUGGACAUAAUAGUCGGUCCUGUUAAACAGGAAACAGGGUAGGACUGAAAGGUGCAUUGCUCUGAAUCCACGUUUUUCACUAACUGUACCCAAGUGCACACAUACAGGGUGAGGGGCUUACAGUUCUAGUCAGUUACAUUUUCAUCCAGCUUAUGACAAACUUUUUCUCCUCCAACUGUAUAUACUGAGCAAUUUUUACAUCUUAGCAGAUACAUUUUUUUUUUUUUUACUACAAAAGCUGGUAUUUCCCAGUACUAACAUUUUAGUGAAGUAAUGAAAGUUAAACAGAUGGUCCACUUUUUAACACAUGAUUCAAAGUUAACAAGCAAUAUUAAAGCUGCUAGGAAACAACUUUGGCCGUAGAUUCUUACUAGGUUCUUAAUGUUACUUCCCUUAGUGAUGUUCAAGUAUAACAGGUUUAGAGUUAUGACUACUUUGCUUACUUAGAAGCACAGGGCACACCCAAUUGACAUUCCUUAAACCAGAACUGGGCCAUCCCAUAAUAGAGCCACUCGUGCUGGAUACUGGCUAAAUGCUUUUACAUGCCUUGGGAGUUUAAUUCUCAUAAAGGAAUUUGACCCUAGCAUCAGCUGUAUGGAGUGACAGUGGUAGGUGGGAAGACUGAAUAUGGAAGUCCGAAUCUCUACACCUUGAGAAAAUGCCUCUGA